rnacentral:sRNA from 1 species
UCUCCUUGUCCUCAGCCACCUUCCUUUCCCCCGCCCGUAUCCUCUUUCUCCCCUUCUUCUGCACGCAGCAGCACCGUCGUCCCCCGAUCACCAACGAUCGUCAAAUUAUACCUCCAAAAUCCUUUUUCUGUCCUCCUUCCAACCCCCAAGUUAAUUUCUAUAAAUUCAUAGCCGGAUUUCCUCAAUUUCAGAUCUAAGCAACGGUGACCGCAUAUUUUUUGGCCAGUUUUCGUCCAAGCCUGGCAGAAUUGGACCUCGACCCUAGAGGUAAAGAUGAUCAUCUCUCAUUAAUGAAAGGUGCCAAAAACUCAGUUGGGUUCCCACAAUGUAAGGUCCCAUGAGGCAAAGGUUCAUAUGCAAGCAUCCGGCUUGUGACAGAUUUUAGGCAUAUUAAGGCAGUCUUAUCAGAUUUUAGUUAUCCUAAACUGUAAUCCAGUGUCACUCCGAUGGAUUGAGUUUUGUGAUCUAGCUAAACUACCCAUGAUCAAUCACAUGAACAAAUCAUACAGGUAGUGCAGAAGUUGGUUUUCUUCUUCCAUUCAUUCCUUCAUCUACAAAAGAUUAAUGUUGAGAGCUCCAAAUACUACACAUAUCAUCCGGAUUAGUUUGUUUGUGGAGCAAAGAUUGGAUGAGAUGCAAAACUGGGGAAUAUAAGCAAGGAAGAUGAUUGCAUUAUCCACCAAGCUGGAAAAAAGAGGUGAAAUCAGUUUUGCCUGGCUAUAUAUAGAGAUGCAUGGAUUGCUGAAGUUCUGUUGGAUAUAUCAGUUUUGCCUGGCUGAAGUACACGUUUUUUUAUGAGGAAAUACUUGUAUACUUUCAUUAAUGAUAUUCCACUUUUACUGUUUGGUUCAUUCUAGCAGCUGAAGUCGUUGGUUUUCAUUUUAUGAAAUUUUUUAUCUUUCGUUUUGCUUAAAU